rnacentral:sRNA from 1 species
AUAAAUCCUGCAAGAUCGUGGAAAGAUCUUGCAUGAUCUUGCAAGAUCUUUCCAAGUUCUUGCAGGAUCUUACCUAAGAUCUUGCAGGAUCUUGCAAGAUCUUUCCAUGUUCUUGCAGGAUCUUACCUAAGAUCUUGCAAGAUCUUGCCAUUAUCAUGGCAAGAUCUUGCAGGAUUUGUACCAAGAUCAUGCCAAGAUCUUACAUAAAUCCUGCAAGAUCAUGGAAAGAUCUUGCAUGAUCUUGCAAGAUCUUUC